CCAACACGUGGCGCUUAGCCGCGAUAGCCAAUCAGCGUGGAGCUUGACCCGACGUCACUGGGAGACAGAACAGAAGCAGAAAGAAGCAAUGGAGGACGCACUUAUAGUGGCGGUGUGCAGUCAAUCUGUCCUGUACGACACCACGCUGGUGUCGGUACAGGGACGGAAUUAAAAAGGAGCAGGCGUGGGUCGUCGUGGGCCAGGAGACGGGGAUUCCUGUGGACGUAUGUCGCAGGAAAUGGAAGUCCCUCAGGGACAGGUACAUGAGGGAGAAAAGGAGGGAGAAAGAGGAGGGAAAAAGGAGCGGGUCAGCGGCAAGGACAGGGAAGAAAUGGAAGUUCUUUGCGGUCCUGUCCUUCCUCGACCCCUUUGUCACACCGAGGGAGACCAGCAGCAACCUUCCUUGGUGUGCAGAGAUGGAGGUAGAGAUAGAGGAUGACGGGGCUGCAGAGACUUCAGGGGUAGGAGAAGCAGACGAGGAGCGUGAUGAGGCAGCAGCAGCAGCAGGGCCAUCGCACAAUACAGAUCAGCUGUCAGGAAAUGAAUCGGACCCUGUCGAUGUUCCUGCUGCUGCUGCUACUGCUGCUACUCCUGCCCCUGUCCCUGCCGCUGGCCCUGGCCCUGGCCCUGCCCCAAGUCCACCGAGCGGGAGGAAGAGAGCAAGCGGGGUACCAUGUGGGAACACCCCGAUACAGGAGGCCAUCCUCCAGGCCCUGCAGAGGGAUGGAGAGUUGUGCGCAGACGCACAGUUUUUAAACGGCCUACUUCCUUCCCUGAAGAGAUUGCCACCAGACGCAAAGGAGUAUGUGAAAUUCCAAAUUCAGUCAUAUUUGACGCCACCCAAUUCACCCUUAAUUUGGAACCCGUCUAAUCAUGCUCCUGCUCAUUAGCAAGAGUGGUGGUGACAAUCUCUCCAGGGAAAGAACUGGGCUGCUGUGACAAAAAAGAAGCUGUUUGUGAGAAAGGUAGUUAGUUAGGUAAAUCCUUUCUCACAAACAGCUUCUUUUUUAGGAAGAUGUUAAUGUUCUUGUUCUUGUGUUCUGUUUUACAUUUAUAAUAUAUUGUUCUAUGUUGUUUUGUUAGUCGUUUUGUAAAUAAAAUAUUUUUAAUAA